rnacentral:rRNA from 1 species
UACGAAGGGGGCUAGCGUUGUUCGGAAUACUGGGCGUAAAGCGUGCGCAGGCGGUUUUGUAAGCCAGAUGUGAAAGCCCCGGGCUUAACCUGGGAAUGGCAUUUGGGACUGCAAGGCUAGAGUGCGGCAGAGGAGACUGGAAUUCCUGGUGUAGCAGUGAAAUGCGUAGAUAUCAGGAGGAAUACCGAUGGCGAAGGCAGGUCUCUGGGCUGACACUGACGCUCAUGCACGAAGCGUGGGGAGCAAACAGG